ACGGAGGAUGCGAGCGUUAUCCGGAUUUAUUGGGUUUAAAGGGUGCGCAGGUUGCUGUUUAAGUCAGUGGUGAAAGUCUGCCGCUUAACGGUAGGAUUGCCAUUGAUACUGAGCAGCUUGAGUUUGGGCGAGGCAGGUGGAAUGUGCAGUGUAGCGGUGAAAUGCAUAGAUAUUGCGCAGAACUCCGAUUGCGAAGGCAGCUUGCUAGUCCACAACUGACGCUGAGGCACGAAAGCGUGGGGAUCAAACAG
rnacentral:rRNA from 1 species